UACGAAGGGGGCUAGCGUUGCUCGGAAUCACUGGGCGUAAAGCGCACGUAGGCGGAUCUUUAAGUCAGGGGUGAAAUCCCAGAGCUCAACUCUGGAACUGCCUUUUGAUACUGGGUGUCUUGAGUAUGGAAGAGGUGAGUGGAAUUCCGAGUGUAGAGGUGAAAAUUCGUAGAUAUUCGGAGGAACACCAGUGGCGAAAGGGCGGCUCACUG
rnacentral:rRNA from 1 species